UUCUCGUGCACGCCCGCGACGUCCCCUCCGUCUUCUUCCUCAAUCCCAUCUCCUUCAGCCUCUGUCUUUGCUUUCAUUUCUUUUUGCUCCCUUCGAAGACCGCUCGCUCAUCCCUCAUCCAUGCCCCUCAUCCAUCAUCAUCUUUCCUCCACUCCCUCUCUCUCUAUUUGCUGCCCUCUCCACCCACGGAUGUCCCAUGCAGGUCAACCCUCACCCACCGUAAUUCCCUUUUUGUUGACCCAUCUUCACGCCUACGAAUUUCACUGAAGAUUCCAGCAAGCCGACGCGUCCACCGAGUCCACCUUCAUCCGCGGCCCACCUCCUCCUUUGUCCACCAAUCAAUCGAAGCCGAGUCUCUCUCCAUCGAUUUUCAACCGCAGCAGCUCCUUCCCAGCAUCCGCAACACCAUGCCAGCGAAGCCAUCCCACCUGCAGCUCCACUUCGGUUUGUCUUCACGGUCAACAAACCGGUGAAACUCUCCACCAAAUUUGACCGCAAGUUCCACGAUUGGUGGUCCACGACGCCACCUGGCCCAACGUCCCCGAGUCAGCUUCUCUCCCUCGAAGUCCCGCGGUGGACUCCAAUCCAGGCGUCGACGUCAGCCCGCAGUCCACCAAAACAGCUGCUCCGCGUGCGUUUUCCUUCGUUCAGCUGGUCCGGGUGUCUUGGGCCCAACAGAUUUUCAACGGUCCAACAGUUGGGCCCGUCCAUGAGCCCAAGAGUCCAGCAAAGCCCAUCUCAACUUAAGCCCAGCCCAAGAAGCAGCCCAUCAAUUGAGUUUUGAGGUCCAGUCCACCCCAGCCACUUCAGUUCAACGUGCAGCCCAGUAGUCUUCAAGCCCGCACCAAUUAAAGCCCAAGAGUGAGCCCAAUUCCAGUAAAUCAAUUUCAGCCCAGCCCACAAAUUGAAGCCCAUCUUCAGCAAGCCCAAUUCAAUUUGAGUCCAACCCAAAAGCAAGAACAAAUCUCAGCUGGGCCGAGAUUUGUUGGGCCAAGCUUAAGGCCCGGUCCAAGCCCGCCGGUGUUGUCGAAAACCCGAUUUCGGCUGCCGUUGCGUCGCCAUUGCGGUGAUUCGGUCUCCGCUUUUACCAAGUGAGUUUUACUCACUAAUGCUUUCUUAGUUUGCUAAUUAUGCUUAGGGGUUGGUUAGAUUUAAUUAAAUGCAAUUAGGUGGUUAGAUUAGUCUAGAACAAUUAAAUUAGUGACUUAAUGAUGCAUAUUAGGUGGUUAGACUUAGUCAUUAACAAGUAGAGAGCUUCUAUUAUUUAUUGAACGUAUCUCGGGAUUUUUCCCGAUCCGUUUUGGCGUCCAAUCAGGCAUUACAGGCCUAAAUUGGAUUUUUAGUAUUUAUUUAUUUAUUUUUCGAAAUUAAUUAAUUAAUUAUUUAUUUUUCCGGAAAUUCAACCGGGAUGGCCGGUGACUGGAAUUUUAUGCUGAUUGUCGUGGUGCAGUCCGUUUAUUUAAUUGAGCUUUAUUUUGUGCGGAAAUGAUUUAUUUGUGAAUUUAGGAUUUAUUCCCUAAUUUAAAUAAUCUUGGAAAAUUAAUUGGAAAUUAACUGGGCAUCAAUUAAUGAUACCAAAACUGUUUUAGUGGACUACAGAAAAUGUUGGGAUUUAUAAAAAGGAAAUUAUUAUAUUUUGGUUAGAGCCAAUCGUGUACCCACACGUCAUUUUAUCGAAAAGGAUAAAAUUAGUUAUCCGAUUGUUUGCUUGGAAUGGCAUGUAUACCGGCUCGAUGACUCCACGGAACAUCUUCAGACAGGACGGUAUGAUCUACCGGCUCGAUGACUCUACGGACUCCACGGAGCAUCUUGAGACAUGACGGUAUGAUGUACCGGCUCGAUGACUCUACGGAGCAUCUUGAGACAGUACGGUAUGAUAAAUUGUAUGAUCUACCGGCUCGAUGACUCUACGUAGUAUCUUGAGACAGUACGGUAUGAUAAAUUGUGUGUAUACUGGCUCGAUGAUUCCACGCAGUACGGUAUGAUAAAUUGUAUGAUCUACCGGCUCAAUGACUCUACGGAGUAUCUUGAGACAGUACGGUAUGAUAAAUUGUGUGUAUACCGGCUCGGUGACUUUAUAUGUCAUCUUGAGACAGGACGGUAUGAUAUACCGGCUCAGUGACUCUACAAAUUAUCUUGAGAGAUUACGGUAUGAUAUACCUGCUCGAUAAUCCUAUAGAUCAUCUUGAGACAGUACGGUAUGAUUUGAUAGCUCGACGACUCUAUAUAUCGUCUGGGGAUAAGAUAACAUACUAGCUAUAUAUCACCUAGGGUGAGUAGUCUUGGAUGUUGAUCAGACUUAUAGAAAGUAUGGAUGGGGUCAAUCAAGAGAUAAUUUGGAUGACAUGUAAUCGACUAGGUCGAUUGAUCGAUGAUUCGGUCUGAUUGGGUGAGGUGAUGUGAUGAUGUAUAUUUGAUAUAUAUACUAACUUGCAUGAAUGAGCUAAGGCCAAUGUAAGUCCUCUGACUCGUGAUGUGCUUAGGCAGCCUAAGGUGUAUUAGUUUACUAAUAGGGUAUUAGGGGGUAGAAUUCGCUGAGACGUGGUCUCAUUGGUUAUUGAAUAACCAUUUCAGGACCCUGAGAAGAAGCUGAGGAGGAGGAACCUGAAGGGGAGAAAGACUUUUGAAGAAGCAGAUGAUUUAGAGAGGGAUCUUGAGUAUAACCCGGAUGUGAAUUGAGAUCCCAUCCCUUUUGUAAACCCUGUCUUGGUGUAGAUAGGUGUGAGACAAGUAUGCUGUGAAUAGUAUUGUAAAUAUACUAUGAGUUGUGCUGUUAAUGAAAGUGUGGUUGUGAAUU
rnacentral:lncRNA from 1 species